rnacentral:rRNA from 1 species
AUUGAACGCUGGCGGAGUGCUUUACACAUGCAAGUCGAACGGUAGAGGGGGCAACCCCUCGAGAGUGGCGAACGGGUGAGUAAUAUAUCGGAACGUGCCCAGUCGUGGGGGAUAACGUAGCGAAAGUUACGCUAAUACCGCAUACGAUCUAAGGAUGAAAGCGGGGGAUCGCAAGACCUCGCGCGAUUGGAGCGGCCGAUAUCAGAUUAGGUAGUUGGUGGGGUAAAGGCUCACCAAGCCAACGAUCUGUAGCUGGUCUGAGAGGACGACCAGCCACACUGGAACUGAGACACGGUCCAGACUCCUACGGGAGGCAGCAGUGGGGAAUUUUUGACAAUGGACGCAAGUCUGAUCCAGCCAUUCCGCGUGCAGGAUGAAGGCCCUCGGGUUGUAAACUGCUUUUGUACGGAACGAAAAGGUCUCUCUUAAUACGGGGGACUCAUGACGGUACCGUAAGAAUAAGCACCGGCUAACUACGUGCCAGCCGCCGCGGUAACAC